UUGACAGGGGUAGUUCGGUCAUUUCGCUUUGACAAUCCAGUUGUUCUGAAUGAGCUGACGCGUGGCAUUCAUCUUUCUGAUUAGCUAUGUCUUCUUUCUUUUUCCAUUGUUCCUUCCUGAAUUCUACUUUCUUUUUCCAUUUCGUUUAUGUGUUUCCUUCUUAAUUAUUUCCUUCUUGAUUAUUUCCUUUUUAGUUGUUUCCUUGUUAAUUAUUUCCAUUUUGAACGAGUGUUGCAGCGGUUAGUUCGAUGGCGAGGUUUCAUGGAGCUGCUGUAAUUGCCAUGGCUAUUUUUGUCCUUUUGCUUAGGAGGGAAGCGUAACUCAUUCUCUCUCUUUCGUUCCUGCUGUUAAUUUCAUGGAGUGGUUUGAUGGAGCUUCUUUGGUCGCAGCUCUGGAUCUGGUUGUUGAGCAGUGUGAGGUCUGUGCAGUUGGAGCGGUGUUGUUAAAAUUGCUUUCUGCUAUUGUUGGAAAGGAAUUGGCGCAGCUUGCUCUUGCGGCUGGGUUUUCAGAUGCCAAAUUUUAUGAGAUUGCUGACGGACUAAUUGGAAAUCUGGUGGUAAUUCAAUAAGGGGGUAUUGCAAUUAGAACCUGAGAUCAGUGUCAAAUUCAGGAAUUACUGUACAACAAUUAGAACCUGAGAUCAGUGUCAAAUUCACAGAAUUUUAAGCAGAACAAAUAUUGAACAGAGCCUCUCAUUUUACAGACCAAAAAACAUCUUCUGAACUGCAGCUUCGGAGAAUUAAAUAUGUUUUCUUUUUACAGUAAAUGACAUAAACAGGAAUCAUCAAUAUCCUGUGCGCAUUGUUGAGAUAGCUUGAUCUGCACCAAAGUAAUAUGGCUGAUGCACCUGUUAACUUUAUGAGACCAUCAAGUAAAGGGCGGAAAUCAAAGCGAAUAAGUGAUUUGAUAUCAAAUCAUAAUUCUUCUAGUCAAGCAGAACAGUCAAAGUCCAAAAAGGCAAAAUCAAGACCUUCAAAAUAUACUAUACUUGAAAAAAGACCCGUGUCUCUUAGAGUUACACCAUCAAAUGCACAGAGUUCAAAGCAGCUAAGGGAUGCUGCUAAAAAUCAAAGGGUGUAUAAUGCUCCCACUUCAGAUGAAGUUGCAGUUAUCUGGCCUGAUAGUGUUUCAUCAAGUCAAAGUUCAUGGCCACAUGUUCUUGUGACAGCAAAAUCUGCGAAAUCCCAUCGGAUUGCCCAUUUUUAUGGGUGAUAUGACCCUUUACAGUAUCUCCUGCUAUUUCCAAGAGGUGAAUGUGGUUGGCAUCAGGGUCUAAAAAAAAACUUCUUAUGGUGGAGAUAGGCAAGUGGCAGCAGAACCUGAUCCUAUUCAAUCAUGUGCAGUGAACACUCCAGCAGAUUUUCUAGAUGCAGAAGCUGCUCGAGCUUCCGGAAGACAUACGAAAGCUGAUAAGAAUAUCUCUGCAAGGGAGUACUAUGCUUAUAAGCUUCAAAUUAGACCAGGAAACAUGCUCUUAAGAGCAGGCUGUGCAUUUCUGCAAUACAUCACAGAUAUGUAUAUCAAGGUUGAAAAUACAAGGUUAGAUUUUUUCCGGCAAAAUCAAGAUACAAUAAGAGCAGAUCUUUAUAAGGGUAUUCUUGACACAGUAGAGAGUGGACAGACAAGUGCAGCUAAUGUUGGUCAUAAAUUCAUUUUACCACCAUCAUUUAUAGGAGGCCCUCGUGAUAUGAAAAGGAGAUAUCUGAAUGCAAUGGCUCUUGUGCAGAAAUACGGGAAGCCAGAUCUCUUCGUCACUAUGACAUGCAAUGCAAAUUGGCCAGAGAUAAAAGCCGAACUAGAGCCCGGUGAGACUGCCCAAGACCGACCUGAUUUAGUUGCUCGUAUAUUUCGGGCGAAGUUGAUUGCUCUGAAAAAAAAAAUCAAGAAAGACAUGGUAUUUGGAAAAGUGGCAGCGAUGAUAUAUGUUGUAGAAUUUCAGAAAAGAGGAUUGCCGCAUGCUCAUUUCUUGUUGAUUCUAGAACAUCAGCAUAAGAUGAAAUCUCUUGCUGAUUAUGAUAGGUAUGUUUGUGCAGAGAUACCUCCUGUUACUCAGCCUGAACUGCGUAAGAUUGUAUUAAGGCAUAUGAUGCAUGGACCAUGUGGCUAAUUAAAUCCAGAGUGCCCUUGUAUGAGAAAGAAGGAUAAUGUCUUUUCUUGUAAAAAUGGAUAUCCAAAACAAUUCACCGCACAAACAACGACAAAUAAAGAUGGUUAUCCUUGUUAUAAGAGAAGUGAUAUUGGAGAACAAGUGAAGGUCAGAAAUGCCGAGUUAGAUAAUCGAUGGGUUGUACCUUAUAACCCUUAUCUCGCAGAACUCUUUGAUUGUCAUUUAAAUGUAGAGGUUUGUUCGACUAAAAAAGCAGUGAAAUAUUUAUAUAAAUAUGUUUACAAAGGACAUGAUCGAGUGCCCUUCAAUAUUUCGGCUGAAGAUAGAAAUUCUAGAGAUGAAAUUGCUCAGUUUCAGUCAAGAAGGUGGGUGUCACCGUGUGAAGCGGCUUGGAGAAUUUUCGGGUUUGAUUUAUUUGAGAUGCAUCCACUAGUCUUACCUCUGUCUGUUCAUAUUCCAGACAUGAAUACUGUCUGUGUACGCCCGUAUGAACGUCUUGAUAUAGGUAUUGCAAGUGGUGUUUAUGCAAAGACUCAAUUAACAGAGUUCUUUCGUAUGAAUGCAGCUACUGAUAAUGGUCUUGGUUACUUAUAUGGAGAAUUUCCAGAACACUAUAAUUGGGAUGCUUCAGCAAAAACAUGGUCCAACCGACAAAAUAAAAACUCGAUGGUUGGCCGUUUAGCUUUUGUGGCUCCUUCUGAAGGUGAACGCUUUUACCUUCGACUACUAUUACUGAAUGUCAGGAGUCCAAAAUCUUUUACAGACUUACGCACAGUUCAAGGUUAUGUAUGUGCAACUUUCAAGGAAGCAUGUCUUAAAGCUGGCAUUUUGGAAGAAGAUGAUGCUGCAAGCAUUUGUUUGGCUGAAGCAACUGAAAUUCAGCUCCCCGGGGCUCUGCGCCGAUUGUUUGCAACUGUUCUUAUAUUUUGCCAGCCGAGUAAUCCGGCAGAACUAUGGCGCAAAUAUUAUCCUGCAUUGUCAGAAGAUUUUGCACAAAAGUACUCUGGUGCAGAAAGCAAAAUUAAGAAACUAACUGUAAGAUCAGUGGAACAACAUUUAGAGGCUAUGGGGAAGUCAUUAUGUGGCUGUGUUCUAGCUGUUUUAAUGGAUAACAAUGAUACUGAAAUUGAUAGAACAAAAGACAUUCAAGAUGCACUAGAUGCUCCGAUUCCUCAGGCUUGUAUAGACAGCCGAAGCUUGCUAAAUCCAGCACAAAAGGAAAUAUUUACAUGUAUCAUGCAGCAUAUAGUGGAAGGAAAACCAGGGGCAUUUUUUGUAGAUGGUCCUGGUGGGACUGGCAAAACAUUCUUAUACAAUGCACUUUAUGCUGAGAUCCGCCUUAUGAAUAAGAUUGUUUUGCCAACAGCUACAUCAGGAAUAGCCGCAGCAAAUAUCCCGUUUGGUAGAACGGCACACUCAAGAUUCAAGAUUCCAAUGGAUAGUGAUGCUUCAUUAGCCUGCAGCGUUUCUAAGCAAAGUAGUUUAGCAACAUUAAUAAAAGAAAUGGCUCUUAUAAUAUGGGAUGAAGCAUCAAUGGCAAACAAACAAAAUCUAGAGUCUUCUAGACCUUCUGUUACAAGACAUAUGCAAUAAUGAUGUAAUAUUUGGUGGAAAGGUCAUUGUCUUCGGUGGAGAUUUCCGACAAGUGUUGCCUGUUGUCCCUAAUAAGACUCAGAGAGAAGCUGUUGAAGCAAGUGUAGUGAGUUCUUAUAUAUGGCAGCAUUUAAGAAGAUUCAGGUUAACUGAGAACCUAAGAGCCAAGGAAGAUCCUUCAUUUUGUCAAUUUUUGCUUGCACUAGGAAACGGUGAAUUGCAAACUUUGGAAAGUGAUUUUGUUGAGUUGCCUUCGCAAAUAGUGCAGACUUUCCAGCCUGAUGAUGAUCCAAUAGUUGGAUUACUUGAAUCUUCUUUUCCGGAACUUGGUUCAGACACUUUAGAUCCUCAAUUUUUUUCUAAAAGGGUUGUUCUGACACCUAUUAAUGAGGAUGUCGAUAAUAUAAACUCUUUCAUGAUUGAAAGAUUCCCGGGGGAAGCCAUAACUUAUACAAGCUAUGACAGUAUUCUAGAUGAUAGUAGCAGUGUAUAUCCUACAGAAUUUCUAAAUAAACUAUGUCCGGGAGGAAUGAGUCCUCACAAUCUUGUGCUAAAAAAAAAACUGCCCAUCAAUAUUGCUCAGAAACCUUUUUCCCUCUUCGGGUCUAUGUAAUGGAACACGCCUUAUAUGUAAAAGGUUUUUGCCCAAUUUAAUUGAGUGCGUGAUUUCUGUCGGGCAGUAUCAAGGGGAACAUGUUUUUAUACCCAGAAUCAAGCUCAGGCCAUCAAGUUCUCAGAAAUAUCCUUUCCAAUUUCAGAGGAGUCAAUUUCCCAUCAAACUGAGCUUUGCAAUGACCAUUAACAAGUCACAGGGGCAGACUUUAGAUCAAGUGUUGGUUUAUCUUCCCCGUUCAUGUUUUUCACAUGGUCAAUUGUAUGUGGCUCUUUCACGGGCACGAUCUGCCGAUAAAGUGAAGGUUAUAUCAGUAGCUCCUUCUUUACAGCGUUCAAAGAACUCUGUUUAAAUGUGGUAUCUUAUAAUGUCCUAAAGUUAGCAGGAGUCAUCUAACCAACUAUGCAUUAACCAAGAAAAGAAAAAGCUCUUCAAGAGAAGGAUGGGCCAACAACUUAUUGAUGAGCCAAGCCUGUAAAAGCUAUGUGCCUAAUGAUAAACUUACUAAGGAAGCUUGUAUUUAGGAAAUGAGGAGAUAUUUGUUCAACUUUAGGAUGUUAAGAUGCUAAAAAAACUCUACAUUUUGGGGCCAAAAAUUAUUCUUCUGCUUGGUUUUUAGACCUAUGUGGUUACACAUUAGCCCACUAAGGUAAAUUGUAUAACUUAUGUUUUGAAGCAUGGAAAAUAAGUUAAUAUUAAAAGCUAUUCAGUAUUUUAAAUUUUAUGUACAUUUUUUUAGCAGAAUUCCUAAAGUUAUGCUUUGCUUAUGACAGUGUAUAAAAGCAAUUCCCCUAAAAAUAGGAAGAUUGUUCCAAAAGAUUUUACUGAAUUGUGGUUGUCAUAAUUUGAGAUUUGUCACAUAAAAAAAUCUACCAUUAUUAUAUUGUUUAUAAAGGGACUUACCUUUUCCAAUGUUUGAAAACUAAUUAAAAAGUACAAUGAGCAGCCCAAAUUUCUUUUCCAGAAGUAUGGGCUCAACAGUAUAAACAGUGACAAGGAUUAAAAAAAACCAAUGGCUAUUCAGAACACUGUUACUCAAACCAAGCACAAUUCCUGUGCUCUAUUUUCUAUUCUUAUAUUCUGUCCUAGGUAAUAUAAAGGGAUUUGCUACUUGGCCUUUCGGUUUUUCCACACAACAAAGCAAACUUACCAGAAACUUAAUUAACCAUGGAAGAUCAGAAAUACAAAACAACAAGAGAGAAGCCAGAAUAUGUGUACUUGAAUCAAUUAAAUGCAGCAAGCAAGGCUUAUAUAGUAAGGGUGGUUGUUGCUGAAAAAGGAAGGGACAUACUAUCUUCCAAAAAAACGGUCAGAUUCCAGACUUUACUUCUAAAGGAUGAAAAGGGUAAUAGAAUGCGCGGUACUUUAUUUGGCGAUCAAAUUGAAGCCUUUGAUGAGGCAUUACAGUAUCUCGGAGAGUAUGACAUUUCUGCUGCGCCAAUUAAAUUCAUUGACGAAAAAUGGAGGACUGAACUUGAUCAGUUUCCUUACCAAAUGACUUUUGGUAGUAGAACUGUAAUUCAGCCAGUACAUCCAGAGCUUGGACCAAUUCUGCCCAACUAUCGACCAAUAGCAAGUAUACCUCGUGCGGUAGAUCCUGAUGAGAGAUACGAUGUCGUAGGUGUAGUGUUAUUUGUAGAAGAGGAGCCGAGGAAAGUUGAAGCCAGAGAUAGAAAGAGAGAAAGCUAGGUGCGAGAAAUAGUCAUCACUGAUCAAAGCUGCGAUCGACCGCUCACCAUCUCAAUGUGGAAUGACCUUACGGCAGGAAAGUACUUCGACAAAUUACCUACUUGGGAAGAAGCGUUCAAGGUUAUAGGAUUUACGGCUCUUAAACCAUACACUCGUCGUGGUUUUUUGAUGAAUUCUGCUAUGUCCACUCGAAUAAUAUAUGAACCUGAGGGAGAACGAGCUCGUGUGGUGUCUGAUUGGGCUAAUCUCUUCCACCAGAGGUUAGUAGAUAGACAAGCAAGAGUCUUAGAUGUAAGAUACCCAAGUGAAAACAAAAAAAAUGUUUUUGCUGAACUAAAGCAGAAAAAGCCAAGUAACACCUUGCAAGAAGAAACUUUAUGGAUUGAAGUGACUAUUCAGGAUGCUGAAUUAGAAAAAGUGAAUGCAUAUACGGGCUGCUCAAACUGCUGCAAGCGCACCAACCUUCCAUUGUUGCUCUUCUUGUUUGAACAAAGAAUGCAUCUGCACUGAGAGAAUUACGUUCAAAUUUGAAGCUAGCGACACCACAGAAACUAUGGCAUUCACCACUUUCAACGAUGAUACAGAAAGAUUAUUCAGGAAAACUGCAGCUGAAAUUUAUGCCAUUAAAGAAUCGGAUGAUCACAACGCAUUCAAGGCCAUUCAAGACUUACUCAGCAGCACACCGUUCUAUAUUAAAGUUGGACCUACUUGGCACUUGGGUCAGAACAAUGUGCUGGAGUGGACACUCAGAGCUAUUGAGCUUAAAGAAAAUCCUCACACCCAUGAAGCUGAGCAACUAUCUGCUGGUUACUUCAGCCAAGAAAAAGAUGCAAGUGAAAAGGUUCCAGAGAACACUAUUGAGUCAGGUAAUUCUGAACCGUUCAUUCCUACCCCAAACUUGAAGAAAAAUUUUGACAAGCAUACACAAGAAGAGCCUUACCCUGAAACACUUGACACCCCUCAGCAAAGUAUUGAAUCACUUAAGCGCAAGAAAUCCUUAGGAAAAAGUCCUAUGGAAUUUGAAAGUGAAGAAAGCGAAUCCCAAGUGCCACUAUCACAAGUCGGGGCGAAAAAGAAACUUUGCUUUUAAAUCCGAAGAAGGACAUUGCAGGUCAAAAUCCUACAAUACCUUUGGCAAAGGAUCGUGUUGAAGAUGUAGCUGAGCCUCUGGGAUCUGAGCACAGGCAAACCACACCAAUUAUUGUGAAGCUGAAAAGGUUAACAAGCCAUCUGUUGAAUCUGCCACCAAGGAAAAGUAGUCCCUGAACUACUAAGAAACUAUAUAUGCUGCUAAUGAAGUAUUGAAGAUUAUCUACUUAAGGUGCACUACUUGAAAAUCUUUUGCAUAUUAAAUCUUUUGCUAGACUUUAAGUAUAUGGGCAACUAUAAGAACUUCGCUUUCGCUGGAACAGUAGAUCAGCAUAUUAUGAUAAGGACAAUAGAUAGUUGCCGAAAAAUUUUAUAAAAGCUCCAGCAUCGUGUAGUACUAAACUUCAGUUUAUCUCUAGAAUUUCAUGUAUAUAGGAAUUAGGUGCUGUGGAGAGAAAUCUUUUGAGGAGUUUUCCAGGAACAAUAGCAAUAGUUAAUGUUCCUGGAAAACACCAUACUAGGACUAUAUUCUAAUGUACUACUAAAUUAAUGUGCAUGUUAAAAUAUAUCUAUAAAAAAUAUACUAGUUUAUGUA